UUACCCUACGGUUACCCUUUACUGGGAGAUACCAAUUCCCAGCAGCUACCUGACUUCGCGUCAGAGGCGUCUGCAUUAUCUACUCUAUCCUCAAAUCUUCGGCUCCAUUGAUACAUACUAAUUAAUCGUAUCGGUCCAAUUCUCGAAUCCACCCCACUCGCAGGGCUCACACGCGUGUCGCUAUCGCCCUGGCUCGUAACAUAUGCAAGGACCUGUAACGAUAAGUAUGUAAGACUGUUCGAUGAAAUUUCUCGCAGGAGUUUGUUGUUGAUUCUGAGUUGACAGGAAGUAGAAAUUCAGGUAGUUUAAUCAAUGUCGAGCAGUGAUCUAGAAUAUUUGAUGGUUAUAUAAUAGGCAGACAAAACUGUUUUGUGGAAAUUGUGAAAAUUGAUUGGUAUGUUAAUUGUUGAUCAUGUAUAAGUAAUGUGUUUUAUACUAUAGAUAUUAACUGUUGUGGGUUGACCAAAUUGAAUCACACAUAUGACAUGGAAAUACAACAACGUUAAAUCAAAACGAACUGUUUGCAUGCUCUCUUCUGUGUAUUUAACCAUAUUUGGAUUGGCAGGAAGCUGAGGAUCCAAGAAGAAAUUUAGAUAAGUAUCUUUUGCUUAUAAAACGAUAGAUUUAACAAGAAUUAACAUGAUACUUUGUGGUGUUUUUAACUUAUAUUUUACAGGUAAUUUAAUCAAUGUCAUGCAGUGAUUUAUAAUACGUGAAGGUUAUGGACAGACAACUUGGUUGAUAUGUGCAUUGGUGUGAGUUAGUGGUGAGUUGAGAAAUAUUACGUUUUCUAAGUUUAUUAUAAUAUAGAUAAACUGCUCGCUUACAUACGUACUUCAUAAUUCCAGACAUUAUGUAUUCUUUUACUAUUUAGUUGCUAAAUCCAAAGUGAAACAUACAAUAUUGGUAAUAAAUGAAUUUUUCUAGUAAUAUAUUUAUUAACAUCUGCUAACUUAAAUGCUAACUUAUAUUAUACAAUAUGUGGUAUUAUAAAUAUUAUUAUAUGUAAUAUGAAUACAUAAAACUAUUCAAUGGGUAAGAUUUUAGGUAAAUCUAAAGAAAAAUUGCUUUUAUAUGAAUCAUAUAUUACCAUUUGUAACAAACAAUUUGUAUAUACAAUAACUAUUAAUUUUUAUUAACUAAAGCUACCACUUAUAUUAUAUCACUGUUAAAUAUUCCACUUCAACCGAACAGCUGGAUAUAUCGUAGUUUCAUAGUAUGCAACUCUUGUACCUGAAAUGAAAGUAGAAUAAUUAAAAAGAGUUUAGAUUAAAAGAAAUUGUAUUCAUUGAGUUGUAUUGUAGAUUAAAGUAAGUUUACAUAUAUAUGUAUGUCAAGAGGCAGAUUUCAGGACACCAAAUUUUCCUUUGAUAUAAUUAUUUAGAUUUAUAAUUUCUUGACUUAGAUUUCUUAAGAAUCUUUGAAAUUUUGAAAAAAAGUUACUAUUUCUUAGAGAUACAAUUGAUUAUAUAUAGAAGGGCAGUUAUCAGGACAGGUCAAUUAUUGCAUGCAAAAGACAAAAUAAAUUGUUUCCGGAAGUUGAAUUACUUAGUAAUAUGAAAUUUUUUAAUAAUUUGACAGUUUAUUCGAUAUUAUCAAAUUCUCCUAUUUCUAUAAAAAUUACAACUAUGUCUAUACAAUUUCAUCAUUCUUUGUAAUAAAUGUAUUUAUUCACUGGGCGGUGUACAAUUUUUGUGUAACGCAUUAAUAAAAACAUAGUAUUUAAGAUUUAUUUCUUCUGAGACAUUAAAAAACAUUUAAAUUCAGUUUAACUAAUAGAUAUAAAAGCAUUCGCGUACAGAAAAUGAAAUAAAUCUGUUUACAAAGUAAAAAUCUUAUUUGAAUGAGGGUAGUACAUUUUUCGCAAUAAUCUGUUCAAUAUACCACAAUUGUUUCUUCAUUGAGCACAAAUAUUUUGUCUAUGGUAUGCUUUAUUCUAGUUGUUUUGUUCUAAUUGUCUUUAUUUUGCUUGCUUUGCAUUGAUAUUUUGUAGAACCUUCAACUGCUUCUGUAAACCAUUGAUUAGUCACUGUUCUGAUACAUUACGAUUUAUAAAGUAUGAUGGCAUUACAUUCUUUUUAAGGUCUAUAAAUUGCAAGACAAACGUAUGUAAUUCAAUGAUCUUCUUGUAUGGAUAAUUUCUUGACUGUAUCUGUUCAAUUUGUUGACUCCAUAAAUUUAUUGUUGUAAUUUUCCCAUCGAUGUCUAGACAAACGCUGAAAAUAAAGAAAAAAGUAUCAUAAUGU